CCGAGGGGCAAAAGAGUGGGGAAAAGUGCGAAAAGAAGCAACAGCCGCUCCACCCGGGACGAGAAAAGUGGCCGGCCGCGUCCCGGCCGCCCGCCCUGCGCCGGGGAUGCGGCGGCUAACGGUCCAAGGAGGCGGCAGGGGCGGCAGGAGCCGCUAGGCGGAGAGAGACCAGUGAGAAAGAAUAUGGCUACGGAGUUCUUGACAACCAUCUUUUGACCACAGUGAGAGCCAGCCUUUGGAAAUAAAGUUGACACUGCUGAAGGUAGAGUGGUGAAACUAAAGGAAACUGGAUAACAUUCUUGAGCCACUGGAUCAAGCCCACCCUGAAGCCUAACUACUACUUUUCAUUCCUCUAAAUAUUAUUAUUUAAUCUUCACAGAAUCCUCACCACGAGCAGAUUCCACCUCAAGAAACCACUUUUUUUUGGAUCAGCCAUAAGAAGCAACCGCUCAUCUGUUCAAGUUUUAUCGUGAGUUUAUAGCAGUUUAGUCCCAUCUUUAGGCUCCUCUGCUUAUCUUAGUUCUCUUGCUGCUUCCACCACACCUGCGGUGACUGCCUCCACCGACAUCUUGAAUCCCUCAUAGUCCUCCAUGAGGGCUGGAAUCAACUCCUUCCAAAUUCCUGUUAAUGUUGAUAUUUGACCUAUUUCCAUGAACCAUAGAUAUUCUUAAUGGCGUUUAGAAUGGUGACUCCUUUCCAGAAGGAAAGUUUUCUUUCCAUGACUCAGUUUUCAGUUUACUUUGCCAAAAUCCAUCAGAGGGAAUCACUAUGUAUGGCAGCUAUAGCCUUAUGAAAGGUAUUUCUUAAUAAGACUUGAAAGUCAAAAUUACUUUUUAAUCCAUGGACUACAGAAUGGAUGUGUUAGCAAGCAUGAAGACAUUAAUCUUCUCUAUCUCCAUCAGAGUUCUUGUAUGACCAGGUGCAUUGUCAGUGAGCACUAAUAUUUUGAAAUGAAUCUUCUUCUCUGAGCAGAAGGUUUCAAUAGUGGCCUUAAAAUAUUCAGUAAACCAUGUUGUAAAC